AAUGAAACUUAUGAAAACAACAGAUGUUCACAGGUCAGAUGAGGGCGGGAACAGUGUACCAGUAUAAAUUACACACAGACCCACUGAUCUGUCCUUUCCAGAGCCUUCUGCUGCCAGAUCAACAAGAUUUUAUGGCGUUUCCUCUGUGGGAGAUGCUGUGGAAACUUGACUGGUCUUGUAGCACUAAUGUCAUCAUGAAGGAGGCGGAGUUUAUGUAAAUCCUUGCUGCCAGGGGUGAGGUCAUCUGGCCCAGUGCCAUUCAGAGGGGAAACCCAUUUGUUGGUGCUGUUGUCCAGAUGCGCAGAGGCCAGCGCAGUCUGCGAAGCCUAACACCGCGUGACGCCUGACAACCUAUGCGUAAAGCCUCAAGUCUAUGAAAAAUGCCGACAAAAAGCCAAGAACCGACCAUAAAAAACCAAUGCAUGUGAUGCUAACUAGUGAACCAAGAAAUCUCUUUAACACAUUGCUGACUCCUGAAUAAUGCUACAAAUGUUGACUCCUGAAUAAUGCUACGAAUGUAAAGUGAAGAAGUUAAAUUUUGGUGAAACCUUUGGUUUCUGCAUUGCUUGGUUGGUUGGUCUGGGGCCCAACUGAUAAAACAAAAAGCCCCAGAAAAAAAGUACAAAAAAAAUAAAAUUCUAAAUAAAAAUAGUAAAAUCUGCAACAGAAAUUCAUAUUGUGUUGUGUCUAUUUUUGUUUAUCUGCCAAUGAUUGAUGAUGAUUUUAUUAACCGUAGCACUUCUUACACAGGCCACUGAAAGAUUGUUUAGACACUGUAUAAAAAUAAAAAAAAUUAAUCAUUGGUGAAACAAAGAAUAUAUAAGUAAGUUUGAUAACACAUUACAAUAAGGUCCCAUUAAUUAAGAAAGAGCAAUACAUUUGUUACAGUGUUCAUUGAUCUUUGUUAGCAUUAGUCUUCAUAUACAACUCAUGAUUUUAAUAAUGAAGUAAAUGUUGAAAUUGAAAUUAACUAGGAUUAAUACAAUUCAGCCAUAAAUUUUCUUGCCAUGAAAAUGACCACAGAAGCUGGCGUGGCGUUAAACACAAACAAACAAACAACUAUACUGAUUAUUGUUUUAGAUGUAUUUAUCACUGCUAGUUUGUGUUAACUUAAUGUAGUUUACGAAUGUCAGCAAAUUGAAUUUUGUAAUUGCUGCCAGAUGUAUAAAAUAUAUAAAGUUUUGUACAAAACAAUCAAAAGCAUUGCAUAUAUUUGACGUAAGUAUAACCAAGAGGCCAAACAUGAUCAAAACUUCCUUCUACAGUAUGUGUCACUGUCAUUCCUGACACAAGACUAUCUUUUCUAAUCACACUAUAAUAGGGCUUAAACUUUUUGUAUCUGAAUUGUAACAUGAUAAUUUAUAUAACUGAGAACAUCUGAAAUUCCCCACAAGUAAAGUUUAACUUUCACUUUCGUUUCUGUGGAAAUAUUUCCUCUAAUGUGUCUGCACCGGAUUGGCUGCUGCAGUUAUGUUCUUUGAGGAAGUGUGAGCAGUUUCUGUAGGAAGAGUAUAAAUAACGAAUGAAGAUCCACUUCACAUUAACUGCACUACUCUGCUCUGAACCUUAAACAAAUCAUCAGCAUGAUCUUAUCCGAGGAGAGUGAUGAGGGGGAUGACGACGACGAUGAUGAAGAAGAUGAUGGAGGUGCUGGAGUAAGUGUCUGCUGCCAAGGGUAAACAACUGCUCCAGACCUUGAUGCAGCCAGUGUUGAGAAAGACCCAAUAGCACGCUGGAUCAAACAAACUGUGUGCAAUUGCUGAUACAAGCCAGCAGCAGCCAAAGCAAUCACACAGCUUCAGUUGUGACAAAUGUCACAACCCAAGUAUCUCCCACGCCAUGUGUGUCCAUGGCAAGCUUGACACGUAGACAAUGACUCCUCCAUGGAAAACGAUGGAACUCGCAACUUUUCCGCUGUGCAGUGGCAGCACCAUCGCUUUUCUUCAGAACGGCUCUGCUUUCCUGUCUGUUUGUGCAACCCUGAAGAAACCAUGGAGAGAAGAACGAAAUGUUCAUGGAGAGGUGAUCCCUCAUGAGAGCUGCUGGUCCAGAGGUUGGACGAUGUGAGCCAGUUUUUUCUGUGAUCACAAUCGUCCUGAUUCACCAUUGUGCCACCGAGCAACGCACAUGACUCCAACGCAGGACUGACUGUUUCUGCAAAAUGUCUACAGUAGUCAACAAUCCAUUAAGAUACAAACAGAGAAUGGGCUGGAUGGGCAUUUUGUUGAUGUACUAAUGGAUGCAUGUUGCUCACAUAUUUACAGGGAGGUCUUGCCCUUUUGAAGCCCAAGUGUAUUUGUUGUAAAGAUAAUAUUCAGACUAUAGCUGCUUGGUCCAAAUAGCUCUCCAGUAAAACUAGCAGAAGGUUUCUGGAGCAGCGGAUCAGGGUUAGAGGUAAAAGCCCACUGUUUUUUUUUUCUUUCUUUUUUGAUGUUCUUUUACCUCAUUUUGAUGCCACAUCAACGCCGCUCAGCCAUAGAGAGUGUGAUCAGAGCGAGAUGACAUGUUCACCAGAAUAGGUUUCACAAGCACACUGGUUCUGCAGGUUGUGCUGACUUGGUUGAAUCCACUGGUUCAGAUAUCUUACUAACAAUACACAAUAUGACACACUGCUGAAUUUCACGCACAGGUGUUAUCGCAGUGCUGUUGAACAAAAGUUACACAACAUACAGUAGGUAACGUACCUGUAUUGAGACACGAUCUCAUACAGAACAAGGUCUUUAUCAAAGGACCUAUUAAGAUCUAGCCAGAAAUGAAGCCCAAUAGAUGCGACACAACAUCAAAGGACAUCAUAUCCUAUUGAGCACUUAUUGUUUUCUUGGUUAUGUGGCGAGGGGAUCAUUAGCAAGUGAUCUGUUUAGUCAUUAUAAAUGAUGUUCUUAGAAAUGUCAUGAAUGCAGAUGGAUUUCUGUGCAUUUGUCUGCCUAAAUGUAUCGCUUUCUAAUGAGCUACACGGUAACUCCCCCUAAAUAAAGUAAUGUUGUGAAAAACA